AAGAGAAAAGAACUGAGAAAGAAAGACCGAAAGAGAGAGAGAAAUCAAAUCCUGAAGGAGAGAGAAAUUUUUUUCUAUGACGGAGGGGGAGAGGGAGCUUCGGGGUUGCUGGCAGGGGUUCUUUUGUUGCUGAUCUACAGCAGAGUGACUCGCUCAACAUCGACAAGGCAAGAACAGAGCAAAGAGAGGCGCUGAGGGGCUUCGGUGCACGAGAAGGAAGAACUGAGAGGCAGAUGUCUUUUAGGGCUUUUAGUUGAUUGUUAUGCUCAAACCAGGAUCAACAAAUUUAAAAAUGGAUGAGACUAUGAAACAAUUCCAAGAGGGCUUAAUUGAGCUUGAAACUGAAGCUGAGCAUCUUCUUUUAGCUCGCCAUCAGCUAGUUGAAAAUGACAGAGUGAGGAAUGGGAAUAGGGAGGCGCUUACUGCAUUGAGGAAGAGGGUUCGGACGAAAAAACUAGCGUUCCAUCUCCUUUUGAGUCAAUAAUGAGAGAUAUUGGGGCUCCCGAAUCCAGGCCCUUGGUGAAGGAGGUAUGUACCACCUGUGGCAACCAUGACUCUAAUGAGCGGACAUGGAUAAUGUUCCCUGGGACUGAUCUCAUUGGUAGGAUUCCAUUUCAUGCUGCUCAUACCAUCUUGGAGACAAGUUUUUCUCAAACCUUUCUUAUUUUAUUGCAAUUGCGUGUUUAAGUUGCUUUUUAACAUGGUAGUUAUAGAUAUACACACACUCAUCACAUACCAAAUGAGGUGAUUUAGUAAGGAGUUCCUACGCUUACUAAGUUUUUGAGUAUGUUGAGUUGUUGAAGAAAUACAAAAUUAACAUACAUCAGAAAUGAAACUUUUGUUCUUUCUAGAAUUUGUGCUCUUUUGUCAUGAGGGUGAUUUUGUAAUAUAUACGUGUGUCUGUGUGUGCGCACACGCGUGCGUGUCCAUAUGAAAAUUGUCUCUGUUACUCAAAUAUUACUUGCAUACUACCGUAAGUAAGCCUCUUUCUAUAAAUAUUAACUCAAGUCAAACAAUAGCUCUAUUCCAACUCUCCUGGUAAUCUAACCAAAUUAAAUUUUGAAUUCCUCCAUCCAGGACAAAUAAAUUAAAGUUUUUAAAUUUGAUUUCUCUGCAUUGUUUGUUCCCCUAGUAAACAAUAACAUUUUGGAUUCAUUUGAGAAACAAUAGAGAAGGCUUAAAAUUUUAAUUUGUUAGAGAUACUUGUAAUAUAUAGAAUACGACCAAUUAAGAAGCAAUGACAGGCCUGAUACUAAUAGGUAUUAGAUUGAUUGUUUUGGAUUCUUGAACCCGUAUCUUGGAACUCAGAACCCUGUUUUGAUAAUUCACAUGGUCAACUAAAUUUGUCUAAUGAUAAGUUGAUAUCUGAAGUUAGUUACAAAAUAUAUAUAUAUAUAUAUAUAUAUAUAUUGGGUGCAUGUGUAGCUUACCAAUAAAAAACUAGUUACAAAUAAAGGAAUAGCUAGAUGUUUUAUAUGUUCAAGUAUCAAACAUUCCAUGAUAAUGUCAUUGUAUUAUUGGCUUGAUAUAUUGGUUUUUAUCCCUGAUUUCAAUAAUGGGGAUUGUUGUCAAUUACAUAUCCAAAAAAAAUGGUGAUUGUUGUCAAGGCUAUUGUUUUGUUGGUCUUAUAGCAGUUCUUAACAACUUACAAUGCCCGGUUUGCAAUUUGUGCUAGAAAAAGCAUUGUGACUCUCCCUAAAUGCAUGCCAUAUGAUCUUGGAUGCAAGGUCAGAUUGAGUUUAUAACAGUUGGAUCACAAAAUCAAGAUUUUGUUGUGUCCUAUUACAAACUGAUAUCUAGAUGAAUCUCCUUCUUGUGUCGUUGUAACAUCUAAUAUUUAUGAUGUGGUGAUGGAAGAUUAAUUUGCCACUGCUUUGCAAUUUUUUUAUCCAAGAUUUAUUUUAUUUUUAUGGGAAAAUGUGUGAAGUUCGUUAGAAUAAUGGUUAAGUGAUUUAAUUCACCUUUCCUAUUAGUUUAAGUUUUGGGGACUGGUGAUAGUUUAUCAUUUAUUAAGGCUCCACCUCCCCUUUAAAAAUUAAAAAUUCCAUGGGUACUCACUUAUUGAGGGAGAAAUUGGGUCCGUACAUUAGGGAUUGUAUUAGAAUAAUGAUUAUGUGACUAAAUUCACUUAUUUCUUAUUCGGUUAAGCUUUUGGGACUAGCAGUAGUUUAUCAAAGUCCGAUUGAAGCAAGAUUCGUAUGAUUUUAAAGAUAUAGUUAUAAGAAUUCUAGGCUUAAAACAAUUUUUAACUUGGGUUUCUAUUUUACAAGUUAUGGUUAGUUUUAUGAGGCAAGAUUUUUCCUCCAAAUUACUAGCUGGCAUUUUUUAAAAUAAGCCACUUGCCAUUGGGUCUUAUGAGAAUCACAUGAUUUUUUAUUUGAUAGGCUAGAAUCACAUGAUUUUUUUUAAGACUUAACAAUGAUUGCCUGUUAAGCCUAUAAUGUUUUUUUUUUUUCCUGGUUCUCUCUCCAAUCUCACUUUCCCUAAGUCGCAACUAAUCUUUAUCAUUGUCAAUCCCCAUUUGCUAAGAAUUCAUCUAGUAAAAAAUGCCGCACCUUUACCAAAUAAGAUCACUGGUCUCUUCAUGUUUCUAAGCAAUGAUGUUGUUUUCUUGGGAUGGGCUUGGGCCACGGAAUAGGGAAUUCAGGAGACUUGUGUGGCUUGGAUUGAGAAGUUGGAAGAGGGCUUGAUGGAUUCAAUGUGAUUGAGCUAUCACUAUGAUGACGGCUCAUUAAUUAAGGCCAACAAGCUCUAUAUUUUGUGCACAUGGGUGAGAGAUUUCCUAGUGAGGGAAGUGCACAUGGGUGGGCUUGCAGGGAAUUUUGGGUCCAAUAAGACCAUGGAGGAGCUAUAGCACAAUUCUACUAGCCAAGCCUUAAGUGAGAUGUCACCAAGAUAAUUGGCCAGAGUUGCCAAUGUCAACUGGCCAAACAUUGUAAGCAAAAUGUUGGCCUUUACACCCCUUUACUGGUGCUAGAUUGCCCUAGGUAGGAUGUAAGCAUGGAUUUUGUGCUAGGUCUCUCUUGCACCCUUAGGAAGCAUGACUUUGCUCUUGUGACUAUGGAUAAGUUAUCCAAAAUGGCCCAAUCAUUCCCUAUUCUGAGACCUCUAAUGUCUCCAAGGUUGUCAAACUUUAUUUCGAUGAAAUUGUCAAACUAUAUGGCCUCCCCAAAAACAUAGUCUGAUAGAGACAUUGGGUUAAUGAAUUAUUUUUAGAAAACUGUUUGGCCCAUAGAAAGAAAAAAGUUGAAAUUCUCUACGGCUUACCAUCUUGCAACAUAUGGCCAGACUGAGGUUGUUAAUAAGAACCUUAGGAACAUUUUAAGGUGUCUUGUAGGUGAACAUGCUAGGAACUUGUAUUCUAUUCUCCCUACGGCCUGAUUUGCAUGCAAUGCUCUAUCAAUAGAAUCAUAGGCAUGAGUUUGUUUGAGGUUGUGCAUGGUUGGUAGGCUAGGAAACCUUUAGGUCUCCUCCCCAUAUCCCCUCAUGUUUGAGUGUCUGAGUCAACCAAAGCUUUUGGAUGGCUUGUCCAUGACUUGCAUCAUGACAUCAACAAAUGUAUUCAAGCAAGUAAUAAACAAGGAUUUUACUAACGUGUGCCCUAAGAGCAUACAUUAAACUAUCCAUUUUUGGAAAUAUUUUCUCGGAAAUUGAAAAAGCUAUCAAUAUUUUUUCAAUUCCCAAGAAAAUAUUUCCAA